ensembl:lincRNA
ACGCGGCGGGGAGGGGCGGAGAGGCCGCGGGGCCGGGGGCACAGGAGCCAGAAGCCCCUGCUCUGAUGCGAGGACGGUACGCGUCUCGCUGGACACAAGAUGAGAGGCUGGAGGACGUGACAAGAAAAAGAGAAGGGGAGAAUUGUGAGUGAAGACCAUUCAUUUAACGGAGACUUGCUUAAAUUGCAAGUGAUUGCAAUGGCUGAACUGAUGAUUUUAAACAAAAUUUCCCACCAACCCCCUGAAGUAAGCUGGAAAAAUAGAAGCCAUCUGGAUAGUGUCAGUGCCCCGUGGGCAUUGGCUGAGGCGUUUGGUGUGGUCCACACACGCGCGAGUUUCCAAGGAGGAAGCCUGUUUGAAGUCCAAAGAACGGGGACCGCCUCUGCUUGCUCAUCAGGUGUCCUGACUCAAUGCCUCAUGCUGGGAAGGAGGGCAGUGUGUAAUGGCAACCCAGGAAGUAAAGCAACAAGCUCAGGCUGUGCAUCUGCUUCACACUUUGAGAAAUAAUGUUUUCAGUGGAUCCUGAACAAUUCUGUGGGAGAAGACAGAAUAGAUGUUCACCCAUGGGCGAGUGAGCCACACGUGAAACUGCUUUCCUGUUGGAAGAGUGCUCCCCUAAACCUGUGACAUCAUCCUGUGUGUGUGUUCCUGCUCUGAGGACUUUAAGGUAAAAUGAUUUAAUUAGGUGAUGGUAUUACCUGGUAUUUGUUUGAGCUGAGUGGAU